rnacentral:rRNA from 1 species
UACGUAGGGGGCAAGCGUUGUCCGGAAUCAUUGGGCGUAAAGAGCGCGUAGGCGGCCCAGUAAGUCCGCUCUGAAAGUCAGGGGCUCAACCCCUGAAUGCGGGUGGAUACUGCUGGGCUAGAGUCCGGAAGAGGCGAGUGGAAUUCCUGGUGUAGCGGUGAAAUGCGCAGAUAUCGGGAGGAACACCGGUGGCGAAGGCGGUUCUCUGGGCCUUACCUGACGCUGAGGAGCGAAAGCGUGGGGAGCGAACAGG